rnacentral:lncRNA from 1 species
AAUAAGAAUGAACACCAUAUUAAGAAUUCUACUAUUUACCUUCUAGUUGUGAGCCAGCUCCACAUUACAGAGAUUCAACUCAUCCCUUAGCCCCUUGCUGAACGACAACGAAUGCUGAAACUGCCUGCCUUGGACCCUUCUCCAGUGGUGCACCUGAGUAAAGGGAAGAUCUGCUAAAAUUCCAGAGGAAAUAUG